UACGUAGGGAGCAAGCGUUGUCCGGAAUCAUUGGGCGUAAAGCGCGCGUAGGUGGCCUCGUAAGUCCGCUGUGAAAGUCAAAGGCUCAACCUUUGAAAGCCGGUGGAUACUGUGAGGCUAGAGUACGGAAGAGGCGAGUGGAAUUCCCGGUGUAGCGGUGAAAUGCGUAGAUAUCGUAAGGAAGACCAGUGGCGAAGGCGGGUCUCUGGACAGUUCCUGACGCUGAGGCACGAAGGUCAGGGGAGCAAACGGG
rnacentral:rRNA from 1 species